GAGGGGAAGCUGGAAUUCCUGGUGUAGGGGUGAAAUCUGUAGAGAUCAGGAAGAACAUCAGUGGCGAAGGCGAGCUUCUGGCCAUGAACUGACACUGAGGCGCGAAAGCGUGGGGAGCGAACAGGAUUAGAUACCCUGGUAGUCCACGCCGUAAACGAUGUGCACUAGGUGUUGGACCGCUGAAGGUUCAGUGCCGUAGCUAACGCGCUAAGUGCACCGCCUGGGGAGUAUGCUCGCAAGGGUGAAACUCAAAGGAAUUGACGGGGGCCCGCACAAGCGGUGGAGCAUGUGGUUUAAUUCGAUGAUACGCGAGGAACCUUACCAGGGUUUGACAUAUACCCGACGGCGGCAGAGAUGCCGCGUCCCUUCGGGGCGG
rnacentral:rRNA from 1 species